rnacentral:rRNA from 1 species
UACGUAGGCAGCGAGCGUUGUUCGGAAUUACUGGGCGUAAAGCGCGCGCAGGCGGUCGUACAAGUCGCGUGUGAAAGCCCCCGGCUCAACUGGGGAGGGUCACGCGAUACUGUUCGACUCGAAGGCAGGAGAGGGAAGUGGAAUUCCCGGUGUAGUGGUGAAAUGCGUAGAUAUCGGGAGGAACACCUGUGGCGAAGGCGACC